GGCCCAUUGGUCAAGCGGUUAAGACGGCGCCCUCUCAAGGCGCAAUCAUGGGUUCGAUUCCCGUAUGGGUCA
rnacentral:tRNA from 1 species